ACUCAACAUUUUACUAUUAAAAAGGGUGAGUCUAAGUUGUAAAAGCAAGCCGUCUUUGAACGGAUCCUUGAUCAGCUUGUUAGCCCUAAACCUGUUUUUUACGGAGUUU
rnacentral:sRNA from 2 species